rnacentral:rRNA from 1 species
AACGAACGCUGGCGGCAUGCCUAACACAUGCCAGUCGAACGAGACCUUCGGGUCUAGUGGCGCACGGGUGCGUAACGCGUGGGAACCUGCCCUUAGGUUCGGAAUAACUCCCCGAAAGGGGUGCUAAUACCGGAUAAUGUCUUCGGACCAAAGAUUUAUCGCCUAUGGAUGGGCCCGCGUUGGAUUAGCUAGUUGGUAGGGUAAAAGCCUACCAAGGCGACGAUCAAUAGCUGGUCUGAGAGGAUGAUCAGCCACACUGGGACUGAGACACGGCCCAGACUCCUACGGGAGGCAGCAGUGGGGAAUAUUGGACAAUGGGCGAAAGCCUGAUCCAGCAAUGCCGCGUGAGUGAUGAAGGCCUUAGGGUUGUAAAGCUCUUUUACCCGGGAUGAUAAUGACAGUACCGGGAGAAUAAGCUCCGGCUAACUCCGUG